rnacentral:lncRNA from 1 species
AAAUUGAAUACUAUGUUUUUUUUUAUAUAAAAUAACCGUUGUUUUUAGUAUUUGAGGGUUUAGGAUAUUUUCACUUGCAGUUUGAUUUCUCUGUAACCAUGGUUUUUCAAGCGCCAUUUGUGAAAAUCAUUAUAGGUUUUUGUUUUGAAAAUCUUUUUACUUUUUUUUUUUUGUGAAAAUCAUUUUACAUUUUUCCAAAUUUGAUAAAAAAUACAAACGAAGAACAAAAGGGUCUGGAAACACUUCUAUGUUUUUUUCUAUUUCAUCUUAAUAAGACAACAGUGGCUUUU